rnacentral:rRNA from 1 species
CGCGAAGAACCUUACCAGGGCUUGACAUCUACAGAAUCCUUUGAAAACAAGGGAGUGCCUUCCGGGGAGCUGUAAGACAGGUGGUGCAUGGUUGUCGUCAGCUCGUGUCGUGAGAUGUUGGGUUAAGUCCCGCAACGAGCGCAACCCCUGUGUUUAGUUGCUAACGAGUAAGGUCGAGCACUCUAGACAGACUGCCGGUGAUAAACCGGAGGAAGGUGGGGAUGACGUCAAAUCAUCAUGCCCCUUAUGUUCUGGGCUACACAUGUGCUACAAUGGCCAGUACAGACGGAAGCGAAGCCGCGAGGUGGAGCAAAUCCGAGAAAGCUGGUCUCAGUUCGGAUUGCAGGCUGCAACUCGCCUGCAUGAAGUCGGAAUCGCUAGUAAUCGCAGGUCAGCAUACUGCGGUGAAUACGUUCCCGGGCCUUGUACACACCGCCCGUCACACCACGAAAGUCUGCAACACCCGAAGCCGGUGAGGUAACCCGUAAGGGAGCUAGCCGUCGAAGGUGGGGCCGAUAAUUGGGGUGAAGUCGUAACAAGGUAACCGUAAGGGC